UACGGAGGGUGCAAGCGUUAAUCGGAAUUACUGGGCGUAAAGCGAGUGUAGGCGGUCGUGUAAGUCGGAUGUGAAAGCCCUGGGCUCAACCUGGGAAUGGCAUUCGAUACUGCACGGCUAGAAUCUGAUAGAGGGAAGUGGAAUUCCGGGUGUAGCGGUGAAAUGCGUAGAUAUCCGGAGGAACAUCAGUGGCGAAGGCGGCUUCCUGGAUCAAGAUUGACGCUGAGGCUCGAAAGCGUGGGUAGCAAACAGG
rnacentral:rRNA from 1 species